AUGGAAGACUACUUCUCCGAGGUACCUACAUACCCUCCUCGUCUCUUUCGCAGAAGGUACCGAAUGCAGCGUAGUUUGUUUGUGAAGAUUGUCACCGAUUGUGAGGCCGCCUCAUAUUACUUUAAACGUCGUAGAUCCGCCGCCGGUAUCAUGGGGUUUAGUGCAUAUCAAAAGAUAUCGGCGGCAAUGCGGGUACUCGCUUAUGGCAUACCCGCGGAUUAUACCGACGAGUAUCUUCGCAUUGGGCAAGAUACAACCACGGAGUCAGUCCGUAGGUUUGCCAAGUUGGUCAUCAAGUUGUACGGUGAGCAGUAUCUUCGGGCACCAAACGAGGAAGAUACAAAAAGAUUAAUGGAAAUGAAUGAAAAAAGGGGAUGGCCGGGGAUGCUAGGUAGUCUUGACUGCAUGCAUUGGAGGUGGAAAAAUUGCCCAAAGGCAUGGCACGGAAUGUAUUGCGGUAAAAGCCGUGAUGCUACCAUUGUGCUUGAGGCCGUAGCAUCUCAGGACACAUGGAUUUGGCAUGCAUUCUUUGGGUUGCCAGGAACACUCAAUGAUAUCAAUAUCCUCAAUAGAUCUCCUUUGUUCAAAAGAUUAAUUUCUGGGGAUGCUCCAGCUUGCAACUACAAAAUCAUGGACAAUGAGUACUCAAUGGGAUACUAUCUCACCGAUGGCAUCUAUCCCGAAUGGGCAACUCUUGUGAAGUCCAUCAAGGAGAAAAAUGGGGUGCCCUUAACAAGAAAAGAGGCUCAUUUCACCAAGGCACAAGAGGCAGCCCGCAAAGAUAUUGAGAGAGCUUUCGGUGUUUUGCAAGCAAGGUUUGCCAUAGUUCGUGGUCCAGCUCGGUUUUGGGACAAAAAAACCUUGAUGAACAUC
rnacentral:rRNA from 1 species